GCCCGAGUGGCGGAAUGGUAGACGCAGCGGAUUCAAAAUCCGCCGACGCAAGUCGUGCGAGUUCGAGUCUCGCCUCGGGCACCA
rnacentral:tRNA from 3 species